rnacentral:sRNA from 1 species
GCCAGGUGCAGUGACCUGUGCCUGUAGUCCCAGCUACUCAGGAAGCUGAUGCAAGAGGAUCACUUGAGCCCAGGAGUUCAAUUCUAGCCUGGGGAACACAGUGAUACCUGGUCUCAA